AGUGUGAGAGGUCGAAACCCCCGCCAAAAGGCACACUGCGUUCCUCAGUCCCCCAAGAUGUAUCCAGCAGAGAGCUAUAACACAGCCGAAACUGCUACCUUCUCUCUACCAUUAUCCAUCCCGGAAAACUGAUGCUGGCCUGCAAACCGAUUGCUCGGCAAGCAAGUCUGACUUCAAGCGUUUCCCUUCCAACAAUUUCACGUACUGUUAACUCUCUUUCCAAAGUGCUUUUCAUCUUUCCCUCACGGUACUUGUUCGCUAUCGGUCUCUCGCCAAUAUUUAGCUUUAGAUGGAAUUUACCACCCAAUUUGAGCUGCAUUCCCAAACAACUCGACUCUUCGAAAAUGUAUCACAAAGCGCUGGGCGUCCGCACCAUAUACGGGGGUCUCACCACUAUGCCGCUGUAUUCCAACAGACUUGUGUGCGGUCCAACGCGGAAAACAUUUCUAGAGAU
rnacentral:rRNA from 1 species